AUUGAACGCUGGCGGAAUGCUUUACACAUGCAAGUCGAGCGGCAGCGCGGGGCAACCUGGCGGCGAGCGGCGAACGGGUGAGUAAUAUAUCGGAACGUGCCCAGUCGUGGGGGAUAACGUAGCGAAAGCUACGCUAAUACCGCAUACGAUCUACGGAUGAAAGCGGGGGAUCGCAAGACCUCGCGCGAUUGGAGCGGCCGAUAUCAGAUUAGGUUGUUGGUGAGGUAAAAGCUCACCAAGCCUGCGAUCUGUAGCUGGUCUGAGAGGACGACCAGCCACACUGGAACUGAGACACGGUCCAGACUCCUACGGGAGGCAGCAGUGGGGAAUUUUGGACAAUGGACGCAAGUCUGAUCCAGCAAUGCCGCGUGCAGGACGAAGGCCUUCGGGUUGUAAACUGCUUUUGUACGGAACGAAACGGUGAGCUCUAAUAUAGUUUGCUAAUGACGGCACCGUAAGAAUAAGCACCGGCUAACUACGUGCCAGCCGCCGCAGUAA
rnacentral:rRNA from 1 species